GUCACUCACCUGAAUAUAUGGGAAAGAAAGGAACAGAAAUCACUGAUACUCAUGAUGUGACAGGAGAGCCAUCCUGACCUGCGUCUCUGGUGGAGGGUGCACAACAUCAGCUGCAUGCAGGGAGUGGUCUGCGAGGCUGGGGCUAGGAAUGGGAUCGUCUCCCUGUGGUAUUGCUGCUUUGAGCUUCAUCUAUGCGUGUGUCCCAUGAGCAAACUAAACAAAUGGAAGGCUUCUGCUAAGCUUCGACUCUCACAAAACUCAGCUCCUUGCCUCCAACGAAUCAACAGCCACAAACCCCGUGCAGGCUGGGAAGAAAGAAGAGGGCUAGGUACUGUACAAACACAGGACAGCUGCACAGAUAUUAUCACAGAACAACAGGCUGAAUGGAUUUUGAAAGAUCAGAGUUUAUCAUGCUGCCCCAAGGCAAGAUUAACUAUCCCUGUGUUAUUCCUAAAAGAUGUUUGUAUAAGUCGUUCUUAAAGGCCUCCAAAGAUGGACACUCCACAGCUUCCCAGGGCAAUUUAUUCUGGUGCUUUACCACCCUUCCUGUCACAGAGUUUUUUCCCAUCAUGUUUAACAUAAAUUUCUCUUACUGCAG
rnacentral:lncRNA from 1 species